rnacentral:misc_RNA from 1 species
GAUGAAGAACGUAGCGAAAUGCGAUAAGUAAUGUGAAUUGCAGAAUUCAGUGAAUCAUCGAAUCUUUGAACGCACAUUGCGCCCUUGGGCAUUCCUAGGGGCAUGCCUGUCCGAGCGUCAUAAGCAAAACUCGAGCCUUUUCUGCUCGGUGUUGGGCGUGUCGUCACGCAUCUGUGGCGCGCCUAAAAGUUCAGGGCAGUCGCCUCUGGACCUCAAGCGUAGUAGAAUCCUCGCUAUGUUUUCCAGAAAGCAACUAGCCAGACCCGCAGGGGUUGCCAAAAAACGUAUUUGACCUCGGAUCAGGUAGGGACACCCGCUGAACUUAAGCAUAUCAAUAAGCGGAGGA